CUACGGGGGGCUCCAGUGGGGAAUAUUGGACAAUGGGGGAAACCCUGAUCCAGCAAUGCCGCGUGUGUGAAGAAGGCCUGCGGGUUGUAAAGCACUUUCGGUUGGGAGGACUGCUUCUAGCACUAAUAUUGUUGGAAGUUGACGUUACCUUCAGAAGAAGCACCGGCUAACUCCGUGCCAGCAGCCGCGGUAAUACGGAGGGUGCAAGCGUAAUCGGAAUUACUGGGCGUAAAGCGCGCGUAGGCGGCUAGAUCAGUCGGGUGUGAAAGCCCCGGGCUUAACCUGGGAACUGCAUCCGAUACUGUCUAGCUUGAGUACAGGAGAGGAGAGUGGAAUUCCGCAUGUAGCGGUGAAAUGCGUAGAUAUGUGGAGGAACACCAAUGGCGAAGGCAGCUCUCUGGCCUGAUACUGACGCUGAGGUGCGAAAGCGUGGGGAGCAAACAGGAUUAGAUACCCCAGUAGUC
rnacentral:rRNA from 1 species